UUUCACCAACUGUUAGGAUGGAGGAAACAUCUCUACUGCGGCUACUCUUUCUGACCUCACUGCUGAGCAGCACAACAAACCAAGACCCCCAUUUGAGAAACAGUGAUUUGGUGGAUAAUCAUGACUGUCAAAGUCUAGUCCGGAUACGUGUCGUCUUCCCGUCAACCAACAAGAAUGUGUGUGUGUGUGUGUGUGUGUGUGUGUGUGUGUGUGUGUGUGUGUGUGUGUGUGUGUGUGUGUGUGUGUGUGUGUGUGUGUGUGUGUGUGAGAGAGACAAGACACAAGAGAUACGUUGUGUUCCCCCUCGACCAACAAGGUCUUAAUCCUAAUCUUUCUGGGUAAAUA